UUUAUCGCGCAUCCACGCGCAGACAACGUCCGCGCUCCUGUCAGCUGUAGAUAAAAAUUGCAUUGUAAAUAGCGGUGAACAGUGGCAUGCAUUUGUAAGAGUGAAUUGUUACGUUGAUUUUUGCAGAAAGAAACCACAGCCGUAUACAUCUGCUCGAACGGAAAAACGUCCGUGUAAUAAUAUUUGCAGGAUGACCAACCAUAUGAUGUGUAUGAUAUAUCAUAUGACCUACGCGUACUCGUCUUAUGAUUUGCUAAAUGAAUAAAGACACCAUUUUGUCAUAUUUUGCUUCGAAUAGUACGAACGUUGUCUUCCAAAAGUCUAAAGUCAUCGACUGAUGUGUUCCCGUAUACGCACUUAACUCAAAGGCAUACUGAAGACAUGCACCCAUGUUGAAGAACUUUCACCAUCCUCUUGGUGUCAAGGGUUGGGUAACGGCCAAAACCCAGGGUUCUACCUAUUCUAUACUUUACGUUGGCUGAACUCGAUAUGGCUUCUAAAACUGAUUCGAAAGCAAUGUCAAAACGCAGGAAAAUAAUCAGCCCACUAAUGAAACCACUCAAAUAUUACGACGGAAUCACAGGAGCCCAAACACCCGACCCAAAUUCGAACCACAGCUGCUUUUAUACUCCAUCGAAAGUCGAAGUAUAACAUCCUUGUGCAAUAACUAAAUAAUAACCAAAUGAUUUUCCAUCCUCUAGUUGUAUAUACACUACUUGCUCUUUAUUAUCGCUAUAGCGGCACAACUCAUAAAUAUCAACACUUUUUAAUUAGCCGCCGUAUUCGUCAGCCCGCUCGAUCAAUGUCGUUGUUGGUUUUACCAUCAGUCAGCACUUGUAGCUUAAAAUUUUACGUUUACUAGUAUUUGUUUGUUUUGCAUACCAAAUAUUCAUCUGUUACUUUUGUCUCGUCCGUUAUGUACAACGCUUACAGUAGACACAGUUGUUAUACCCUUUCGACCCUCAACCGUAUAUGCCUUCUACUUUCGAAAUCAAUACAGGAAUCAUCAACAUUACCCAAACUUGAUUUGGGAUCCGUGUCACUUCAUGGCAUCAAGCCGUGUUUCUUAUAAUAGUAAUAACCAUUAACGUUCGUUUUGUCGCUGAUAACUCAUGUUACAGUUAUGAUCGGCCCGAUUACCAAAAUGCACUUCUUGGGACCGUUCUGCUCUCCAUCGCUAAAUGCUAUAAACCAUGUUUUUCAUAAAUCAUAUUUGAUGUUCUUUUUUUAUUUAAUACAUCACUCCUUUGUGAAGUUAAGUGAUCUACGCAUUUUUUUGUAACACAGCUGUCAUUUUUUAUUGUACAGUAAGUAUCUUCUUUGUUGUAAUAAACAAGCAUACAACUAAACACCAAGCAUUAUAAAUGCUAAUAUUUCAACAUCUUAGUUAUAUUUAGUUUAUUCCUUGAAACAUAUACAAAUCGAAACUAGCUUAUCUGCAAAUAACCAAUACAUGGCUCAGAAUAGGCAAUAUGAAAAUGCAUAUGUAUAUGAUUUUUGCUUAGGUUGGCAUAUUUAGCUCAGUUAAUAUUAAUCAAUUCCUUGUGCUUCUCUUUGGCUAUAAAUAGAGUUAAAGCAAGAUGCCGAUCGUUUCAGCGUGUCCUUAUUACGCCGAUUAGGUUUCGUUUUGCGCUUAGAACCAAAACUUUGUUGCAGUUAUUGAUACUUUCUAUUAACGGACUUUUUUCUUCUGUCCCGUAGCUCAAUUUCUAUCGAGGUGGUUUUGAUCUUUCAUGUUAGACUUUUGUUCAGGGCUGCUAGGCUCCUUAGAGCAAAUAUUAACUUCACUACGACGCCCUGAUCCGUCACAAGGUUCUCGUAGCUGUUCAUUUCUCUACCUUGUAGUGCCAGAAAUCUAUGUAUUCGUUUCCAUUCUACUGUCACCUCUCGUUGGGUAUAGUCGCUCUGAGGAAUCGAAAAUACUGAGCAGGUUCCUUC
rnacentral:lncRNA from 1 species